CCCCCCCCCCCCAUCCUUUAUCACGACUAUUCUCUGUGCAUCCAAUUUCACAACGAAAAAAGAAAACCCUUGAUUUUUGGGGAAAAUCAGAAUGAAUGUCAAGGACAUCUUGGGUUUGCUCAAAACCAUGCAUCCCUUGUAGCGGGAGAAGAAAUCGCGGCUGAGUUCCAUUCGGAUUUUGGCGUAGUUCCGUGGACGCACGAUCUCUUUGGCUCUCUCCUUGACUGACUCACUCCCUCAUGGAUUUCUGGGUUGAAGAUAUUGGAAUUUGUCUCGAGCUUUUGGUCAACUGGUCUUGCUCUUGGACUCUUGGUUCGAUUCAAAAAUCUUCAAGCUUGAGAUUAGUUCAGCACUAACCAACUCAGUAUCUGACAUUUGAGAAGUUGAGCAUUGGGAAAAUCAAGUUCAAGGCUUUUGAUUUGGGUGGGCAUCAGAUUGCUUGCAGAUUUUGGACAGAUUACUAUGCUAAGGUAUUAUAGACGAUAUAAUGUAAGAUGAUGUAGUGAUUGGCAAUUGGUUAUUUGCGUAUAUGAACUGUUUGAGCUUUUGUUAUGACAGAAUUAUGCAAAAACAGAGGAGAUGCUCAUGCUUUACCUUCAUUGUUUAAGAUUCCUCAUCCUUUUUGAUACCUCGAUUUAUAUAUGCUUGAUUUGUAAUUCAAGAGAAAGCCUUUUCAACUCAAGAGGAAUUGUAAUUCUAUGUUUUAUGAUUUGUGAUGGUAUUACCUACACUCUGCCAGUAAGUAAACAAAGUUUGAUCGAAAAGUUAUGCAUAUAUUAUCUUAUUCUUUAAGAAAUCUAAAGUAACAAAAUUGGAGAAGUUGCAUGUUGCAUGAUUUGAAAAUAUAGUUUUCUGAUAUCAGCUAGGUUUUGAAUACAAAUAUGAUGGAUCAGUGUUUCAACAGAAUUGUUGGUGCUAUUGGUCCUUUGUUUCCUGGGGAGAAAUUUAUUGCACUUCAUGGAUGCAGUUCAGUAUUUCUGGAAAUUUGGGAAUUUGAGGAUGAGUGCAGUCAUUCUGUAUUUUCUUCUGUGUGUAGUAAACAAAUGAGCAAAUGUCAUCAGACUUGCAUUGUUAUAUAAUAUACUUAUAAUACAAGUUAAUAUUUCUAGAUAACUAGACUUCCAUUUUGUACAGAUUAACUAAACUGAACUAACAUAGUAUAUCACUAUGUAUCGAUCUGUUUAGCUUAUCAAAUCGUACACAUAGGGUUUGUAUUCUGUGAAUUUUAACAUUUGCUCCCAAUGUUUUGCUAUCAAAUCCAAUUAUUUACGUUUUUGAUGUGUUAUGUGAGGAUUUGAUUUGCGUGAAGUUGUAGAAAAAUACUGCAUAUAUAAUGAUUCCGUCUGUUCUCUUUUCAUCAAUUUGAAGUCAAAUUGUUGUUCAAUAUCUAGGAAUAGUACAAGCAAAAAUUGAAAUUUUUGGGCUGCAAUGUUUGAUGUUGCUGAAGUUGGCAUUUUACUAGAUUGAAGUGUCCUUGCAGGGGAUAAUUUUAGCAUUAUUGUUUACGUUUGUUCUUUGAAGGGAAAUUGGCCAAACCCCCGCAGUUGCACAAUUCACAGUGAAGAAUGAUGUGUCCCGCUGAGACACUUGAAGGGCAGCAAAGCAUUGAUGGUCUACAUAACUGUGGGAUCAGCUGCAUAUCCAAUCUUAGAAUUUUUAGAAGAACGAGGUACAUAAAAUUUUGAGGAUUUUUUUCCCUACUGUUAUUCCCCAAGCCACACAGAUUUUUGUUAAUGGCUGCUGGGUAAUUGGCAUACAUCGUGAUCCUGAAAUGUUGGUGAGAACAUUAAGGAAGCUAAGGCGGGAACACCAUGAAGACGGUGGUUGGCAUGAUCUUGUAGCAAAAGGAUUUAUAGAAUAUAUUGAUACUGAAGAAGAGGAGACCACUAUGAUUUAGAUGACAAUUAAUGAUCUUGUACAAGCAAGGCUCAAUCCUGAGGAGGCAAAUUCUGACACUUAUGCUCAUUGCAAAAUUCACUCGUCACUUAUAUUGAGUGUUUGUGCUUCAAUUAUACCAUUUCCUG